UACGGAGGAUCCAAGCGUUAUCCGGAUUCCCUGGGUUUAAAGGGUGCGUAGGUGGAAUGACAAGUCAGUGGUGAAAACCUGCAGCUUAACUGUAGAACUGCCAUUGAUACUGUUAUUCUUGAGUACAUUUGAUGUGAGUGGAAUGUGUCGUGUAGCGGUGAAAUGCUUAGAUAUGACACAGAACACCAAUUGCGAAGGCAGCUCACAAAACUGUAACUGACACUGAGGCACGAAAGCGUGGGGAUCAAACAGG
rnacentral:rRNA from 1 species